CCUACGGGAGGCAGCAGUGGGGGAUAUUGCACAAUGGGGGGAACCCUGAUGCAGCGACGCCGCGUGGGUGAAGGAGUGCUUCUGCAUGUAAAGCCCUAUCGGCAGGGAAGAAGCAAGACGGUACCUGACUAAGAAGCCCCGGCUAACUACGUGCCAGCAGCCGCGGUAAUACGUAGGGGGCGAGCGUUAUCCGGAUUCACUGGGUGUAAAGGGAGAGUAGACGGCCAUGAAAGUCAGGGGGGAAAGCCCGGGGCCCAACCCCGGGACUGCCCGUGGUACUGCAUGGCUAGAGGAAGGGAGGGGCAGGCGGAAUGCAUGGUGUAGCGGUGAAAUGCGUAGAGAGCAGGAGGAACACCGGCGGCGAAGGCGGCCUGCUGGACUGCGACUGACGUUGAGGCUCGAAAGCGUGGGGAGCGAACAGGAUUAGAUACCCUUGUAGUC
rnacentral:rRNA from 1 species